rnacentral:lncRNA from 1 species
AUUUAGGUCAAGGACGCCGGGAGCACACCCACACCCUGCGCUCCCGGGGCGGUCCCCGAGACCCCGGGAAUCGGGGGGCUGCGGGAUGAAGGAGACCCUCCCACACAAACACCAGCCACAAGUUUUAUUUUCCCUUCGCGCGGCAAGUUCUCUGGCUCCCCCGCUCCACACCCGCACGUCCUGCACGGCUCCCCGCCCUUCCCCGGCAGAGGGUGGACACUUAGAAAUCCCGUGUUCUGCUUGAAGAACUUUCCUUCG